GGAGCUUUGCUGAAACUGCACAAAAAAUCGAGCCGGGGGGUUCCCUGGUCCCCGGCGAUGGGGCGGGGAGCGCUGCGCCGGGGGAGGGGGCGGGCGCGGCGGCGCGGGCCCCGCCGAGGGGGGACACCUGGCUGAGGCACAGCUGCCGCCGUGCCUUUCCGCGCGAGCCCAGAGCUCCGAUCCCUGCGCGGGCUCGAGAGCUCGCCCCGAACGGGGGUCUUCCUCCUCCGCCGUUGACAGGUUUUGACCUGUAGCAGAGAACCAAUUCUGGAGAACAGCCUCACUUCUUUGAUUGAAUACUUACAUAAUGCAUUGGAACAUGACAUGAGAUUAAGGUUUAAUAAUGAUAGAAUGAAGACCACAAUAAAAGAGACCUCUACUUAGCUCAGCAAUUCUUACCUUUCUUACCUAUUUGAUGAAGAUGUCUUUUGAAAGGUGUACUGCAAGGAACAAAAUGUUUGUAAAUUCUCCUUUUACCAAGGUUUCUUUUUUAAUUGAUGCCAAAGAGUUCCAAUAUUGAACAUCUUAAGUCUGUUACUUGGAUUACGGAUUGAGUUUGGAGCUUACUCAGAGGACUACAGGAGAGUAUCCAGGAAGUAGCAAGAAAUGUAUUUCAGUCAUUCUAUUUGCAUCUUAUAUUCAAGUACAAAUCUCUCAAGAUCACACAUUAAUAUGUGAUAGUAGAUUUGAAAACUUAGCCUAGCUGUAGACUAAAUUCCGUAUUUAACAUUAAAGAUUUUCUUCAGUCAGUUAUGUAUCUUUUUGGUUAAUAUAGAGUUAUAGGUGUUUUUAAGCCACUAAGUGUCAUUACUGUUACAUGCAUCAGUUAGCCCUACUUGGAUUAGCAAGAUUAUGCUUUCAUAAACUAUUCUUUCUCUAAAUUAAUAUAUUUAUAUAUUUAGAAGUUGACAUUCUAAAUCAAAUUGUGUUUUUUUCCUUUUGCAGGUGGAUAAUUACUGUACCUUCCUCAUGGAAAAAGUUUUAUUUAAAGUGUUAUUUCUCAUUGAAUACUAUCAAAAAGGAAAAAAAAAUGACCUAAACUUUUGAGAUAGAUUUGGCUCUAGGCCUACUCUAGGUGCGGUACUUCACUAUAGUUUAUAAAAGAUGGUCCCUGUCAGCAAAGAACUGUAACCUGUAUGAGAAUAUUAUACUAACAUACAAGAAACAAGUAGAGAAUAAUGGAAUGUAAACUCUGGCUUGCUAACUUAAGUGUGGUAGAAGCUUGAAGGAAAUGUGGACUUAAACUUAUCAGAGAAGACUUAUAAGAGGAUAUGAAAGGUGAGCUGGGCUGAAAAAGUGGUUAAGAUUGAUUAUGUGAAAUGAAGGAAUGAUAACUUGCGAGUGCAGAAAACAACAUGAACCAAGACAUGAUGAAGUAGCAAGGAGUAAAGUAGAUACAGUAUAAUGAAGGCAAAGAGUAGAUACUAGGGAAUUGGUAGGGAAAUGAGUAUAAUCAUGUUUGAGAUUGUUUUCCUUCCUUUGCAUAAUUUAC
rnacentral:lncRNA from 1 species